GAAACCUUUAACUAAAUCCAGAGAGAUUUAUAAGGUUGUUAAGUGUUACGUGUGCUUUGUACACGUCUACCUCUUUGCGGCCUUUGCAAAGAGGUUUUUUUAAU
rfam:Virgibacillus sp. LM2416 chromosome, complete genome.